rnacentral:rRNA from 1 species
GAUGAACGCUGGCGGCGUGCCUAAUACAUGCAAGUAGAACGCUGAAGGAAGGAGCUUGCUCUUUCCGGAUGAGUUGCGAACGGGUGAGUAACGCGUAGGUAACCUGCCUGGUAGCGGGGGAUAACUAUUGGAAACGAUAGCUAAUACCGCAUAACAGUAGAUGUUGCAUGAUAUCUACUUAAAAGGUGCAAUUGCACCACUACCAGAUGGACCUGCGUUGUAUUAGCUAGUUGGUGAGGUAACGGCUCACCAAGGCGACGAUACAUAGCCGACCUGAGAGGGUGAUCGGCCACACUGGGACUGAGACACGGCCCAGACUCCUACGGGAGGCAGCAGUAGGGAAUCUUCGGCAAUGGACGGAAGUCUGACCGAGCAACGCCGCGUGAGUGAAGAAGGGUUUCGGAUCGUAAAGCUCUGUUGUAAGAGAAGAACGAGUGUGAGAGUGGAAAGUUCACACUGUGACGGUAUCUUACGAGAAAGGGACGGCUAACUACGUG